rnacentral:misc_RNA from 1 species
GAUGAAGAACGUAGUAAAAUGCGAUACUUGGUGUGAAUUGCAGAAUCCCGUGAACCAUCGAGUUUUUGAACGCAAGUUGCGCCCGAAGCCUUUUGGCCGAGGGCACGUCUGCCUGGGUGUCACGCAUCGCGUCGCCCCCCCCACAAUUCUCUGUAAAGGGAACUCGUGUUUUGGGGGCGGAUAUUGGUCUCCCGUGCUCAUGGCGUGGUUGGCUGAAAUAGGAGUCCCUUCGAUGGACGCACGAACUAGUGGUGGUCGUAAAAACCCUCGUCUUUUGUUUCGUGCUGUUAGUCGCAAGGGAAACUCUAAGAAAACCCCAACGUGUCGUCUUUUGACGGCGCUUCGACCGCGACCCCAGGUCAGGCGGGACUACCCGCUGAGUUUAAGCAUAUCAAUAAGCGGAGGA